rnacentral:rRNA from 1 species
ACGGGAGGCAGCAGUAGGGAAUAUUGCACAAUGGGGGGAACCCUGAUGCAGCAACGCCACGUGUGGGAAGAAGCAUUUCGGUGUGUAAACCACUGUCGUGAGGGAAUAAUGCUUGGCUCCGGCCAAGUUGAAUGUACCUCGAAAGGAAGCACCGGCAAACUUCGUGCCAGCAGCCGCGGUAAUACGUAGGGAGCGAGCGUUAUCCGGAAUUACUGGGUGUAAAGGGAGUGUAGGCGGGACUGUAAGUCAGAUGUGAAAUAUACCGGCUCAACUGGUAGACUGCAUUUGAAACUGCGGUUCUUGAGUGAAGUAGAGGUAAGCGGAAUUCCUAGUGUAGCGGUGAAAUGCGUAGAUAUUAGGAGGAACAUCAGUGGCGAAGGCGGCUUACUGGGCUUUAACUGACGCUGAGGCUCGAAAGCGUGGGGAGCAAACAGGAUUAGAUACCCUGGUA